AGAGGAAGGAGAAGUCGUAACAAGGUUUCCGUAGGUGAACCUGCGGAAGGAUCAUUGUCGAAACCUGCCCAGCAGAACGACCCGCGAACUCGUGAAAACACCGGAGGGGAGGGCGCCCCCGCGCGCGCUCCUCUCCACCCGCCCCGGGUGCGGGACUCGUCCCGUUCCCCGCGGCGGAACAACGAACCCCCGGCGCGGACUGCGCCAAGGAAAUCUAACGAGAGAGCACGCUCUCGGGGCCCCGGACACGGUGCGCCUUGGGACGCGGCGCCUUCUUUCACUUUACGUCUAUAACGACUCUCGGCAACGGAUAUCUCGGCUCUCGCAUCGAUGAUGAUUGCAGAUCCCGUGACCAUCGAGUCUUUGAACGCAAGUUGCGCCCCAAGCCGUCAGGCCGAGGGCACGUCUGCCUGGGUGUCACGCAUCGUUGCCCCACCCCUCCCCCUCGGGGGCCAGGAGGUGMGGGCGGAGAAUGGCCUCCCGUGCGCUCCCGYUCGCGGUUGGCCCAAAUUCGAGUCCCCGGYGACCGAAAGCCGCGACGAUCGGUGGUGAAAACAAGCCUCUCGAGCUAACACGUCGCGCGCCCGCGUCUCCGGAUGGGGACUCAGGGACCCYGACGCCCCGCGCAAGCGG
rnacentral:misc_RNA from 1 species